rnacentral:misc_RNA from 1 species
GAAAUUUCUGGUUUAGUUUUGGUGCUAGCUAGUUGGUUUGACUUGUGUAGGUUACGCUGGGAUGCAUAUUGCUGGACAUAAAUUAUAUGGUCAUAAACUUGCUUAUAGAGUUGUUCAUGCCCAGAUUUAGGGAAUAUUUUUUCCUGGUUAUUUUUAUGUUGCUCAUUGUAAAUUUCAAAGACACAAGGUUGGGUCUCCUGUCAUCUCCUUUUUAUUUGUGGGGCCUGUUUUGUUUUGUUUAG